AGGUUCGCCAGGUUACAAAAGUAGUUCCAAUACAUUUAUCUUCUCCUUCGUGAAUAAAGACAACCUCCCACCCUUCAAAUCUCCUGUCACACACCAGGGAUAUGCUAUAUACACUAGACCUGAAUAUGGUCCCACAUUUGGUGCUGGUCAUGAUAUUCAUAUUGCAAAUAAUGCCAAUGCAAAUACUGGUUCCUACACAAAUCCUGGCUAUUACUAUCAGGCACCAAGCGGGUAUUCCUACGGCUCAACCAAGGCGAGGAGUCUUCUUGCUGGCACAUAUUAUACAUUCACACCUGACGAGGUUGAAACAUUUUAUCUUAAUUAACUUUUGAUUAAUUUUGCAUUUAGAAACACA